AGCUCCAAUAGUGUAUAUAGUGUUGCGGUUAAGAAGCUCGUAGUUGGAUCUCGGCAGCCAGGGGGCGGUUCGCUCCAAAGCGUGAUUGCUCCAUUUGGCUGUGUGAUUGGCGGAUGUCUCGGGGUGCUCUUCGUUGAGUGUCCCGCGGCGCCGUCAGGUUUACUUUGAAAAAAUUAGAGUACUCAAAGCAGGCUUUUCAGGCUUGAAUAUUCGUGCAUGGAAUAAUGGAAUAGGAACUCGUUCCUAUUUUGUUGGUUUUCGGGAAUUGAGUUAAUGAUUAAUAGGGACAAUUGGGGGCAUUAGUAUUCAAACGACAGAGGUGAAAUUCUUGGACCGUUUGAAGACUAACUACUGCGAAAGCAUUUGCCAAGAGUGUAU
rnacentral:rRNA from 1 species